CCUCUCCCUCCUUCUUUCUCCCUCUCUGCCUCUUACCCUCUCUCCCCCCCUCUCUCACACACACACUCCCUCUCCCUCUCUCACUAUGUAGCUCAUUGAAGCUGGCCCCACAAUUCUCCUGGGUUCUGGGAACUCAGACAUAUGCCACUGUGCAUGCCUUCAAGAUUUCAUCCUUAGGCAAGAGAAUAAUUUAAGAGUUAUCUCUAGGCCAAGCUUGGAGGUCUGGGUGAGCCCACUUUGAUCUGAGAGUCCUUGUCUUGUGGAUUUCAUCACCUGUGGUGGUUUGAAAGAAAAUGGACCCUAAAGGGAGUGGUACUAUUAGGAGGUGUGGCUUUGUUAGAGAAGGUAUGGUAUGGUUUUGUUGAAAGAAGUGUGUCACUGUGGAGGCAGGAUUUGAAGUCUCAUAUAUGCUCAAGACAUGCCCAGUGUCUCAGACUGUCAUGUCCUGUUGCCUGUAAGUCAAAAUGUAAGAACUCUCAGCUCCUUCUCUAGCACCAUGUCUACCUGUAUGCUAUCUUGCUUCCAGCCAUGACUAUAAUGGACUAAACCUCUGAACUCCCCAUUUGAAGGAAGGUAUGGAAACUGAGGACACGCUCCUCCCUAUGCCUCCAAAUGACAAAGGAUAGAGAAGCCAGCCUGCAAGGAUGAGCACUCCAGUUGGAAAUGACUCAAAACUGUAUGUGGUAAAUGUGGACUUCCUCGAUAGGAGGCACGAGGACACUCCCAUCUAGAACUGUUCUCUUAUCUCUCAAAAAAGAGUUUUCCCAUGUGCUUGCUGCUGUUUGCAAGGCAUUUCAUUUCUCUUCAACAACCUUCUGUUCCCGAUAGCACCACCUCUAUUUCACAAGUAAUGAAGAAUUAACUCAUAACUGCUACAAUAUGUCCUAAGAAAAUUGGUAACAUCCCAGUGCCUACCAGUAUCAGAAGGACUGGGAAUUGCUGGUGUGUGUGUGAUACAUUGAUGGUUGCCACGCAAUGAGCAAUGAUCCACUGCUUUCAGGCUAAUGGAGAUGAAGAGCACUUGGUCCUCAUUAAUAUCUGUCUUGAAAAUACAUGUUCUCAUUCUUCUCAAGAGUGCUUAAGGAAGAUAUCUCAGCAAUGUGAGGAGAAGAUGUGUAUUGGGAAUGAAGGACAAUGAAUAACCUAAAGCCAAAUGGCUAUCUAACAAAUGACAGAGUAGACUGUGAGUUCUUGGAGACAAACUAUGAUUGGAAGAGCUUGGAUUUCAGCAUCUGCACAUGUAGCAGAAUGUGGGGUAAGUUCCAGCUCACUGAACUUUGCUCUCCACAUCUGUGAAAUGAGGUGGGGGAAACCUUAUCCUCAGGAGUGUCAUAAGGACUCAAGGGAACUGUGUGUAAACCACCUGAUGCUGGGCCUAAGGAGCUGGCUCGACAAGAAUGCUUCCUGUUCUUGCAGAGGACUCAAGUUCACCCAUAUCAGGCAACUCACAACUGCCAACAACUACAGCUCCAGGGAAUCUGACACCUUCUCUGGCUUCCUCAGGUACCUGCAUCUAUAUCCACACACAGACACAUAUUUAGAAAUAAAGCUAAUCUUCUAAAAAAAAAAAGUCAACAAGCUGAAUGGUGGUGGUGCACUCCUUUAAUCCUAAGGAGACAGAGGCAGGCAAAUCUCUGAGUUUGAGGCCAGCCUGGUCUACAGAGUGAAUUCCAGGACAGCCAGGGCUACACAGAGAAACCCUAUCUCAAAAAAAAAAAAAAAAAUACUGAGAAAGAGAGAGAGAAGGUCAACAAAAGAUACCUGAUGUAUACUUAUUUGGUGGCAAAUGGCCUUUCAUCUUCUCCCUCUAUCCCUUGUUAAGAAUUAUGUACUAGCACACAUAGAAGAUGUGACUGCAUAAUAAAGGAGAUCAAUAUCAGAA
ensembl:lncRNA